GCCCGGGUGGGCGGGCGGCGGCCGAUCGUCCUUCGCCGUGCUGGGGAGAGCCCGGGCAGCGGGGGCCUUUGGGGGUCCGGGCCCUCGCCGUCCCAUCACCAGGCUGUGGUCACUGCCUUGGCAGCCCGGCGGGGUGGCGGGCCCCGCGCUGUGGGGAGGCCUCGGGCCCUCGGCGGGCCUCGGUUCCAGUCAUGGCGGCUGAGGGAGGGAAGGGCCGGGCUGGGCAUUGCGCGUUGCGUUCUGUUUCAGCCUCUCCCCGCUGACAGCCGGGCUGGCUGAGGACGUUAAAUAGGGCAAAACGAUGCGGUGCGGCCGUUCCCUGGGUUUGCCCAGCGUUCACUUAAGUAGCUCUCUGCUGCCUUCGUGAACCCCUUUCCCGUCCCACUGGUGAGCAGGCAGUGAAGGGCUUCAGUCUAAAGAAGCCAUCCUGGAUUGCCUGGAAGCCUUGCUGUUCACACAGAUGCUGACUUUUUCUGCACUUUGUAAACCCACAAGUGCCCUGGUUCAAGAGCUUGUUCCUACAAACGCCGGGUUUGUAACUGGAUGGCUAAAUGGAUACACGGAGCGGCAUGCUGUUAGGCCUGAGCAGUGCGGCAUAAAUCUUUCCAUACAAAUGAGCUGUAGGUAAUGCUUGGAAGAUUUAUCCACUAGAAUAAAUGCAAAGUUUGCUGUUAUUUCCGAUUUUUAGAAGUGCAAGCUAAGGAAAAACCCCAGCAUCUAUAGGGAGAGUGGCAAAUACGUCUGUGUUGAUAGGAAGUGUCAUAUUUUAUGGUUGCCUGAGUUGGCAGUAAUGCAUCUUCCUGAAGGUGUGUACGGUGAAUGAUCUGCCAGCAUUUCCAUUGGUAACGAAGGAGUCACUUCCCGAUCCGAGUCACCUGCCUGCUUGAAGCUUCUGACAGCUGCAUCUUCUUGCAUUCCUCCAUCACUCUGGAGUGCUGGAAAGCACCAGCCUAGUGUUUCCCAGCUGACUCAGUUAAUUACUGAAAUUAGCAAAAAAUGUGUUCCAGACUCAGAGCCUUGGCUUCUAAAUAACUGACAAGUUAACGUCAGGCUUCCUCAGAAUCCCUGGCAUACCUUUGUGAUAUCCUGUCCUGUGAAAAACAGGCUUAUAUUUAGAGUUACUUCUGUGAUGAAGAACUUGUCCUUGCCAAGAGCGAGGUAGGCCUUUUGAACACUUUUCACUGGCUACAAGUUAACGUGCACCUCUGUGUUAAUCAAUAAUAAUGUGGGAAAAAGUAAUGUGGUUACAGAUGGGGUGAAUUUGUAGGCUUUACUUGGACCCUUGGCCACAGGUUCCCCAGCUCACGAUGAAGAAUUCUGUAACUAAAGGAAAUAAUGCUGUGGUGGUUGUUUGAGUAUUUGAAGAAUUUUUGGAUAUUCAUAUCUCUUUGUGCUUUUUGAAAUAGUUUUUAUAGAAACUGCAAAUGUUGCAUUAUGGUUGGGAAUUGUGGUGUAUAAAAUCAUGCUAUCUUUGUUAUUUUUUAGUUCAAUUAAACUAAUACAGCUUGAA